UUUCCAGACUCCUACGGGAGGCAGCAGUGAGGAAUAUUGGUCAAUGGCCGAGAGGCUGAACCAGCCAAGUCGCGUGAGGGAUGACGGCCCUACGGGUUGUAAACCUCUUUUGUCGGGGAGCAAAGAGAGUCACGUGUGGCUCAUUGAGAGUACCCGAAGAAAAAGCAUCGGCUAACUCCGUGCCAGCAGCCGCGGUAAUACGGAGGAUGCGAGCGUUAUCCGGAUUUAUUGGGUUUAAAGGGUGCGUAGGCGGGUUAUCAAGUCAGCGGUAAAAUCGUGGAGCUCAACUCCAUCCAGCCGUUGAAACUGAUGAUCUUGAGUGGGCGAGAAGUAUGCGGAAUGCGUGAUGUAGCGGUGAAAUGCAUAGAUAUCACGCAGAACUCCGAUUGCGAAGGCAGCAUACCGGCGCCCGACUGACGCUGAAGCACGAAGGCGUGGGUAUCGAACAGGAUUAGAUACCCCUGUAG
rnacentral:rRNA from 1 species